ACUUCCGGUCAGCGCAGCCCAGGCCGCAGGAGGGUACGGCCCUGGACCCCCUCUCUCCAGUGGGGGCUGGAGAUGGGAGCGCAACUGGGGCUCCGCCGAGGUCUCUGAGGGCACUUCACCCCCGCCCCCGACCCCAGGAACUGCGAAACCCCAAAUCUUCUUGCCCACCGCGGGGCGCAGGUCCUGCCCACCCGCUCUCCAGGGACGCGCGCAGAAAGGCAGUCCCGGCCGCCUCCCCGCGCCAGGGUCCGGGCAAGCGUCUGAAAGCUGUGCUUGGGCCGCAGCUCCAGCCAUCGCCCCUCACCCCCGGUUCUCCCGGGCCACGUUCAUUGCACAGUUUCGAUUUGUUUAGGCCGGGGUCUCCUCUUCUUUCCUCAACAUCUUUUUCUGUGGGCUCCCCGCCUCCGUAUUCCUCCUCAUCCUCUGCUCCAAGGUUUCCGUUUUUUGCACCGGAGGCCGCCCUUCUGCGACCAGCCUUCUCCGGCCGCUCGGACUCGGCCUCUGCAGCGGGGUGCACCCGGGCGUCCCUUCGGCUCCCGGCCCUCCCUCUCUCCUCGUCGCCCAGCCCUGCCUCCAACUUUGCGCCCCCGGCUGCCCCGCGCCGCGGCUCAACUGGACAUCCGAACGCUCCGACUGUCCGCUCCCCUCCCCUCCCCCGGCCGACACGUGGGGACCAGCGCUGACCUUGGGUGAGGCCACGCUGUCCCCCGCUGCUCUCCAGUCACCCCUGUAUCCCUUUGACUCUUGGGCUUCCGAGUAGGGGCUCCCGGAGUAUUACCAGGGAAAAGGGGAGCGCCCUUCCCCUGGUAAUGAGAGUAGCCACGCAAUGUCGGCUGCGCAAACUGGGCCUCAGAGCGGCCAGGCCAGGGUCAAACCAGGAAGAGGGGGAGGGGUGGACAGCAAGGCUGAAGAGACCUGACUUUAUUUGUGUUGCUUCAACUGGUCCUGAAUGGUUACACGAGGCGCGCGCUCUUGCACACACACCGCGGGCAGCCCAAACCCUCGCUGGCUCGGCCCGCCGGCUCCUCGCCCUGCCAGUCCUGAGCCGGCUCUGAGCCACUGGAGUCAGAGGGCCCGGGCGCCUGCCUUCUCGGUGCGGGCUGGGGAGGACCUGCUCGCGAAGGGCUGCCAACUGAACUUUUCCUGCACCAGGUGAGCCCCUUCUGAAAUCCUCGCUGCGGGAUACUUUUUUUUUUUUUGAGGGGGCGAGAGGAAGUUGCAGAGCAGCUCCGGCCCCACCACCUCUUUCCGCAAUAAAGCCACCAUCCUCAGGGCGCAGAGAUUUGUUCUCCUCCUCUCCUUUCUUGGAGCUGUGUGGCCAGUUCUCUUACCCAGGCAAAGCUGAGGUUUCCUGCUCGGGUUCACUGUUUACUUAGGAUUUCUCUAAAACUAGCGGCGCCAACUUGCCCUCCCUCUGCGCCUUCCCUGGCGGCCCCCACCCAGGCCUGGAGGAACUUCCAGAAGGAUUGAGCUCUGGCCUUCACCCCGGGCCUCUUAACUUCAGGUCCGCCCAAGUGCCCUCCUCUCAGCAGGCGGAGGCUCACAGCUCUGUCGGGAGUAGGGAGGGCUGACCGCAUUGUGGUGCAAAGUGACAAGUCGAGUGUUGACUUGGGGACUGCGAUGACCGGCCACCAGGAAGGGAACCAGGUAUGCUCUGGGGUCCCGGGCGGCGCCCUGGCAGCGGACGUUCCCGCAGGUAGUGCGCGACUUUUGCCCCAGGAAGAAGUCGCUGCUGCCUGCAGGGUGGCCUUGGAGAGGCUCGGGCCUCCAUUGAGACUGCUCACUUCCUUUUCUCCGGGACCACGGCUCUUCAGCUUUUUCCGCCCUAGGCUCCCGCGCCUCCUCAGUUCCCCAUGGGAGAGUUAUUUGAAGGCUCCCCGGAGAUGGGAUUUGGCCCACCAAUCCUAGCAAGUCAAGGCCCGCCCGGCUAGGCGCAGAGAGGCGGCCUCCCUCCCGCUACCCCGGGUGGGGUAGGGACCCCCUUUCCCCAGAGACCCUCUAGCACCUGAGUGUUGAUGAUCAUUACUUUAAAUUAAAAGUCUCUUUUCUCCUUUCCGUCUAAGCCUCAACUUAGUUUCAGAGAAUGAAGCGUGAAAGCUCUUUUAUGGAGAUUACCGAUGCUUCAUUUAUUCCCGCGAAUGGCAAACACAGCCCGGGAAAAACCGAGCGAGCGAGCUCCUUGUCUCGGAUCCUCGGCCGUCUCCGUGUUCACAAGCUCACUUGGCUGUGAGACGCCGUCGGGGAAAGCCCCUGCGUGGCUUCCCUGGGGAAGGGAAUUGCGCGUUCGCUAGUGCCGCAGUCCGCGAGCAUCCCUGGGCGAGACAGCGGUCUAGCCUCAGAGGCCCCGCCUGGAGAGCUGAGACACUGGGGGCUAGGGAAAGUGGUGGGCGUUCAGGGUGUCAGCCCUGAAGAUCCCUGAGGUUCUGUGCUUAUGUGAGUGUGACGAUCCUGGUUAUCCUCACUCCAAACCCACCCUUCCACUCCCUAUUUUCAGUGGAAUCCAGGGGAACUUGGGGCACAUUACACAGGGAGAGCCAGGAGCCCCAUGUACCAUAUCCUGGAUCUCAUUCACGUUCCCAUCCAACCUUACACCAGCCCCUGUAACCUUUUCCGUGCUUGGCCAAGAGGCUGUGUCCAUAGUAAGCACUUUGGUGAGGCUGUUUUAUAUUUGCAUGUCUGCCAAAUACAGCCCCUAAGAGCAGGCAACACGCCCCUAGAAAGGGUGGGUCAUUUUGGAAACAGAUCCAGAGCCGUUGAAACUCUGGAAUACAAAACUCACCUUGUGAUCUGGCGGUUGUCUCCUCCGCGAUCAGGGAUGCUUUGACUAUUUCACAAGGGGCAGUUGGAAGGAAGUGAUAAUAGCCUCCGGCAGGAAACACAACAGAGGGUUUUUAUUCUUUUUAGACAGAACAGAGAAGUUUGAAGAAGGAAAAGUAUAAGCUCCUAAAAGAGAAUUUCCAGAGUUCAGGCUUAAAUUCCUUUGUGACACUGUGUUAUUAACUCCAACGCAGUGGCGUCUCCACAUUCCGGCCAUCCCACUCUGGGAGCCCCUGUAACACAAAAGCUAUUGCUGGGGGUGGGGGGAGGUAGCCAGGAGGGGCCACCAGCCUCCCUUCUUCCCACCUUAGCCAAUGCACAGGUUGCAGGGAGAGUGCCAGCGCUGCUUUUGUUUAAAGGGGCUUGCUCUAAGACACAUCUUACAGACACGAGUAUGUGAGUUUCCCUGGGGGGUCAACACGGACCAGGCUAAAAGUGAUAUAGUCUCCCUUAUUAUACAGCCAAUGACUUGUCUAUAGCAUGCAAGGAAGUAGGGCCCUUUUGGUUGCCCUGUCUGCCCUUAAUGGGUAAUGACAGUUUCACCAUAAAGGUCCUCAGUGGCUAAGAGGGAUAGGGUAAGUGGUUUUUUUGAGAGCAAGAUCACCCCACAGAGCCUGGGGAGGUCCCACUGGCGCUAUAAGGGAAGGUGAGGCUAGCCGAGGUGGGGGCGGUGCAACAUGAAGUCUAUUUGAACACACAGCACUAAGUUGGGAAGGGCGGAGAGAGAGCUUGCUGUUGACUGAACAGUUGCCAACUUUCAUUAAUUACUCAGUCAUUUUAUUGUGAAAGCAAAUACCAAAAUGCUCUCAUGCCCAUUCUGAAUUAAUGGCCUGCAAAAUUAGAUGAGGAGGGGGCCAAAGGGUGAGUUGAGGUGUUCAGAGGAGUAUUCAGCCCUUCUUUCAAACCUAGAAAGUGCCCCCCACCAAAUGUCUGAGGUGCUGGUCAGGGAGUUGAAAACCUAAGGCAAAAGCUAUUCCUUAGUGAACAGAGGUUGGAUUCUAAUGAUGACAAACAUCAGAAGGAAACCUUCCUUGGGUUCUCAUUAAUUAUUCAAUCAUGCAACCUGGCUUAAACCAAGUGCCUGCGAUGUUCUUGGUACUGGGGUGGGCCCCCGUGGGAUGGACACCUGAUGUUCCAGGAGCCCAUGCCCCCAGAUAUUCAUUUGAACCGAAUGAAUUUCUGAAGUCUAUGCCUGGGUGUUUGGAAUAUGUCAGAACCCAUCUUUUAACUUCCAUAAUGUCAAGGCAAUUCCUGUGGGACCAUUUUUAUUGGUUAACUUAGUUGAAUUUAUAAUCUGUGAAAUAGAAAACAAAGUCAGGUUUAGGUGCACAUAACUUAGUUUAUUAUGUCAGAAGUUUCAGGAAAAAAAAACUUUAUUCCUUGCUUCCAGCGUAUGCCAUCUGUUUACAUAGCAAAAUGAAACCACAGGUUUGUAGAAUUUAGAGAUGAUAGUUGCUUUUCCUUGAUACUUUCCCUCCUCAUCCUUGUGUUUCUUCUCAG
rnacentral:lncRNA from 1 species